rnacentral:lncRNA from 1 species
AAGGCCUGUUUCGACCAUAAAUACUUCAAGCCUCUAAGAUCCAACCCCUCAAGGACCGUAGUCUAUCAUGUCAGCCUAACAACACUAAUAGUGGUAGCGGGCAAAGGACCAUAGUCCACCCCCUCAACCUUAAGAAGCCAACCUCAACAUCAACUAGACAACCACAAAUACUUGAGCCUAUUUCUAAAUGUGCUACAAUUUAACUUAGCCAACCUCAACAUCCCCAGUCAGACAACACAAGAAAUAAGGUAUAAACAAAAAUAGUUCAUGUCAUUAAUAUUCAAAAUGCUUAAUUACAAAGUAGGUCAACUUAGAAAUUAAACAAAUUUCAUUACAAAAGAACAAGAUCAAACAUGUCGAGCAAAAAAAGUCUAUUAUAAAAGAAGAAGGCCAAACUCAUUGAGCUAAAAGGCCUCAUUACAAAAGGAGGUCAAACUUACUAUUCUAAUGGCUGAGCAAAAAAGAAGACCUACACCAAGCCAAAAAAGAUCAAGCACAGGAAGAAAAAUUACACAGGCCCGAAGGCCCACUUCUUUACUUUUGGAUGAGGAAGCUCGAUGAUGUGCCCUUUCUCCGAUGCCUUCCCCUUGCUCCUCGAUGAUGCCUUCGUCAUAUCCUCUAGAAAUGCUAAAAUAGCUGAGAUCAACCUUGGAAGAGCUAGUUAUGACCAUGGUGUGAGCAAGCUCGGCAUGAUAUUCUACUGAAGCCUUACACUCCUCCACGAGGACUUUCCCCUCAACCUUGGUAAAGCACUACUCAACCGCCCAUAGCUCUUCCUUGGCUUCAGCAGCUUGGAGAUCAGUCAUCUCAGCUUGGCUUUCUAUGGCCUCUAGCUCGCCUUCCACAGCUUUCAGCUUGGCCUCUAUCUCGGCCGCCUUUAUGCUGGCCUUGUGCAGCACCAGCUUGAGCUCCCCAACUCAGCACCUAAGAGCUUGAUGACUCUCAUGCACCAGAGCCACUAUAUCAGCAUUGUGCAAACAAAGACAAGGUUAGCAAAAAAGCCAAACUACCAAAAAAACUUUAGAGGCCAUCACAAUUACCUAAACAACUAAUCCAAACGCCCUGUCAAACA